CCAAGCUUCCCGCUGACCAGGGGCUUCACCUUGUCUGAGGAGCCUGGAUGCACUUCACUGUUGUGUCCUUGCGAGUCAGAACAGUUUACCUUGAAGAAAUUAGAGUGUUCAAAGCAGGCUCUCGAGCCUGGAUACAUUAGCAUGGGAUAAUAGAAUAGGACUUUUGGUUCUAUUUUGUUGGUUUUUGAGGACCAGAGUAAUGAUGAAUAGGAACAGUCGGGGGCAUUCAUAUUCAAUCGCUAGAGGUGAAAUUCUUAGAUUGAUUGACGAUGGACUAGUGCGAAAGCAUUUGCCAAGGAUGUUUCCAUUAAUCAAGAACGAAAGUUAGGGGAUCGAAGACAAUCAGAUACUGUCGUAGUCCUAACCAUAAACGAUGCCGACUAGGGAUCAGACAGGCUUCUAUCAUGCCCUGUUUGGCACCUCGUGAGAAAUCAAAGUGUUUGGGUUCCGGGGGGAGUAUGGUCGCAAGGCUGAAACUUAAAGGAAUUGACGGAAGGGCACCACCAGGAGUGGAGCCUGCGGCUUAAUUUGACUCAACACGGGGAAACUUACCAGGUCCAGACAUAGCGAGGAUUGACAGAUUGAGAGCUCUUUCUUGAUUCUAUGGGUGGUGGUGCAUGGCCGUUCUUAGUUGGUGGAGUGAUUUGUCUGGUUAAUUCCGAUAACGAACGAGACCUUAACCUGCUAACUAGCGGCUGUCAUGUUUGGCUCCAACCAAAGGCGUGCCGGGCGUGUUCCU
rnacentral:rRNA from 1 species